GUCAGAACUGCCUUACGUCCCUCGGGCGCCCUUCGCAUCGGAGUGAAUCCUUUGCGACGGAUGAUGGAGGCUCCGGAGGGCGCUGAGGUACGGGGCCGCCGAAAGACGGACCGGCUCGCCGCCGAAGCGGCGGGGUCGGCGGGAAACAUCGCCCGCGGGCCCACUCUGACCGGGACAUCCUACUGGCUGGACGUCUGGCUGAUGAUCCUCUUUGACCUCGCGCUCUUCGUCUUCAUUUAUAUGUUGCCAUGACGGGAGCGUCAGAGGACAACCAGAUUGCCAUCAAGAAUAACCAGCCAAUGUUACUCCUUCAGCUGCUUUCGCUUCAGAACCAAAAUAAAAGGACACUGCAAAACUAAUAUAACAACAGCUCAAGAAAUACCAACUCCUCUUACUGUAUUUGAACUAUUGACAUAUUUUUGCUGACCUAUUGGAUGUGAUAUUUUGUUUAAUGAACUUGAACUAUGAUGAACUAUGAUGUUUCACAUUAUUUUCAACAUGAAGUGCAGAUUGUGCCUUAUAUUAAAUAUAAAUCUGUUAUUGAAGUGACAGAACAAUUUCAAUUAAGUUUGAAGUUGUUUAUUUUCAGCAAUUAACUGUGGGUGUCACCAUUCAGGUGGACUGAAGACAAGUAUCUUUGUAACAAUAAUUUAUAGGUAUGGAUGAGCUUCUAGCAUGAAAUAAUAGAGAAUGUAAACUGAUCAAUUCUAAGGGCUGUGUUUUAGUUGCUUUUAUGUAAAGAAUUUAUAUAUGUUCUUUUCAUAUGCAAGGAAUAUCAUUUGUCCUGUCUGGAGUUUUAAAGAACUUUGUGCUGAGCCUUGGCCUCUCAGAAGCAGGAUGGACUUGGACUAUGUAGGUGGUGUUUUUAUGAUCCUUUUUAUAGUAUGUAAAUGUAAAGAGACCAAAUACCUGAACAGUUUUCACUGUGUCUAAUCUGGUCCUAAUCCACACUGUACUUCGGAUUUGCCCUUCUGUUGAAAGUAUCUGCAGCUAGACAAGAAAAUAGAUCUUUAAGGAUUUUCAUGUUAUAAAAGUAGAUUGAGGAGUAAGCCUAUAGACAUUCAUGUUAAUUUUCCUAAUUUAAAUAUAGGUGUUUUUCUUUCCAUGUA